AGGACUAACGCUGGCGGCGUGCCUAACACAUGCAAGUCGAACGAGGUAGCAAUACCUAGUGGCAGACGGGUGAGUAACGCGUAGUCAACCUACCUUUUAGUGGGGGAUAACUAGCCGAAAGGUUAGCUAAUACCGCAUACGAUCGUCGAGUGGCAUCACUUGACGCUGAAAGCAGCAAUGCGCUAAGAGACGGGACUGCGUCCCAUUAGCUAGUUGGUGGGGUAACGGCCUACCAAGGCUCCGAUGGGUAGCUGGCUUGAGAGAGCGACCAGCCACACUGGAACUGAGACACGGCCCAGACUCCUACGGGAGGCAGCAGUGGGGAAUAUUGCGCAAUGGGCGAAAGCCUGACGCAGCGACGCCGCGUGGGGGAUGAAGGCCUUCGGGUUGUAACCCCUUUCAGCAGGGACGAAGCGAAAGUGACGGUACCUGCAGAAGAGCGCCGGCUAACUACGUGCCAGCAGCCGCGGU
rnacentral:rRNA from 1 species